rnacentral:rRNA from 1 species
GAUCCUGGCUCAGAUUGAACGCUGGCGGCAGGCCUAACACAUGCAAGUCGAACGGUAACAGGAAGAAGCUUGCUUCUUUGCUGACGAGUGGCGGACGGGUGAGUAAUGUCUGGGAAACUGCCUGAUGGAGGGGGAUAACUACUGGAAACGGUAGCUAAUACCGCAUAACGUCGCAAGACCAAAGAGGGGGGACCUUCGGGCCUCUUGCCAUCGGAUGUGCCCAGAUGGGAUUAGCUAGUAGGUGGGGUAAAGG